AAGUGUCUGCAGAGUCCUGGAGUUGGUUCUGCGCUGUCCGUCCUUCUUGGUGUCUCGCGUCUCCCGGGCGAGCCGGUUUCAGUCCCGGGGCGAAGGAGCGCGCAUGGAGGGCCCCAUGGGCAGAGGACCAAGACAUAACAAGGUACAGGAGAAUAAAACUGAGCAGAAAGGUUCAUUCCAAGGUAUCAGAGAGUCAGGUCCUGAUUCCUCUCCUUCCUGCCUGGCACUGAUCUGAGACCCACUCCAUCCCUCUGCCAUCAGAACAGCCUGCCCAAACAGCCCAGCCAUCGAAGGAAGCUCAUUGACUUAGGUUUCUGUCACUUCCUACCAAAGGGCUCCGACGGACCAUGAGCAGAAGGUGAUCGUGGAGGUGUUUAGAUGAUCACAUGAGAGGAAGCCUAACAGUGAUGACAGUAGAGAUGACAAUGAAAAUAGCAAAGACAACAUCAGUGUUGGAGGUGGCUAUGGUGAUGAACUGCUGCUCAUAUCAGAGGUCAUGGUAAACGUGGUUUACAUCAGAUGGUGACAUCAAUGGGAAUGAUAGUGGUGAUGAUGGUGGUGGUCAUGUGAUCGAUCAUGAGAAUCAAGGUGAAGAGGCUAAGGCUUUGCCAGCCUAAUCUGGGUAUAUGUCUGAGAAACACAGGUCCAAAAGAUUCAAGAAAUGACCACAAAGAAAUGAUGGGUGAAGGAGAACAAAUUUUUCCAGAAUGUCAAGCGCUGCCCUUUUUCUUAACUCAAUAAAUCCUAGUUGAACCUGGACCCGGAGAAGAGGGUCACGGAUGGUACCCCGUAGAACUUCAUAGCUAUGUUGGAACCUUCUGGAACAGAAAGACCCAGCAUCCCCAACCAGGUCCUUUUGAGAAUCCCAGGUUCCUCUAGGGGUUCAGACAUCAGGCAAGAUGAACUUGGGGUGGGCCAGCAAACAUAAGAGAUCACUGCAUCUUGUGUUUGACCAUUUACAGUUUAACUGUGGAGAUCUGGGACUAUUUGUUCAUCAUGGUCUACUUGGGGGAAAUGAGUUACUUCUGGAGAAUAAUAGCAACUAAUUUUGUUAAGCAUUUACUAUGUGCCAAGGACUGUUCUAAGUGCUUUAUAUAUAUCAUCUUGCAGGAUGAAAUCCUCCCAACUGUACGUAUUUCUAUUUGCCAUGUAACAAAUGAGAACACUGAGAUGCAGAGAGGUUAAGUAGCUUACCCAAAGCCACAUUGUUAAGGAAGACAGGGUGGGAAGCCAGGCGGUCUGGGCUCUGGAUCCCAUCCCUUGACUCCUACCCCUCUGGGAAAUGUGCUCAGGGGGGUUAGGAGCACCAGGAAUGCUUCUGGUCCAGGACCUUCUCCAGUGCCUCCCCUUCUAUUCUAUUUUACCCAAGAAAGCAUUUUCCAGAAGGAGGGUCUAAGGCCAAUAAGGACAAAGUGUAGUUCUGUGGGUCCCACGGAAAAAGCCACUGGCUUUAGGGGGCUGCCUUGUCGUGCCAUUUCCCAUGUGGGGAGGAGCUCUGAUGGAGGAGAGCUGGGGUAUUGGGAAGACACCACCUCUCCCUUGGGGUUUAACUUCUCCUCUCAAAUAGAAGGCUCUUGUGAGCAGUAGUGAGCUCUAUGUUUCUGCCUCAGGCAUAAGACUGUGGCUUUGGGGUCAGACUUUGGGGUAUAUAAUUUUCACUUCACCAAGUUGGGCUGGUAACUAUUUCUCUGAGAAUCAAUUUUCCCCCUUGUAAGGUGUAGACAAUAAUUCCCAUUUCCCAUGUUGUUGAGAGCAUUCAAUGUAUAAAGGGUCCAGCCCAGUGCCUGGCAUACAGGAAGCGCUCAAUAAAUGUCAGCCAGUUCUUAUAUUGAUAUAUCAAUUCCCUGGACUUCAGUUUUCUUCUUUCGCAUUUCCCUUCUCACUCAUGAGCAAGAUUUCUGUUCUGCUCUAAGGAGAGAGGCCUAGGAGGGAAGAAUCCUGUGGCUCAAGAAACCCAGACCUGACUUUAAUACAAGAGGGUCAGUAAUGACCCCAGAUCCAUCUCCCUCCCCCAGAAAUUACAGAUUCCUGUAGCUGUACUUUUACAAAUAAACACAUGCCAUUUCCACAAUGGAAAAUUUUCCUUAAAAAAAUAAAAAAGAAAGUAAAACACUCUCCUGUCUUUUCCCUGGGCCAAGUAGAACUAAGAAAGAUAAAUGAAGCCUUCUACACAGACGUAGGAAGUUCCAGCUCCGGCCCCCACCCUGACGUGGUUGGAGCUUUGCUGGAGACUACAGCAGCCUCAGGAGCGAGCACCCAUCCCCAGUGCCCCUGGGAGGCCUUUGGGGGCUCUGCAAAGGGUAUGUCUCUUUUGGGGGAGGAGGAGGAGGCCACUCCCUUCCUUUUAGUUCUUUUUUUCCUUCUCAGCAAUGCCCCCUGCAGGCAUCCAAAACCACCGCACUCACUAACCCUAUUUAAUUCAGCAAGGUUGACCAGGAGUCCGGCACCCCACACCCAGGCCCUGGUCAAAUGAAAAUAUUCAGUUGGUUGAGUGUCUCCCUUUGGCUCAGGUCAUGAUCUCAGGGAUCGAGCCCCACAUCAGGCUCCCUGCUCAGAGGGGAGCCUGUUUCUCCCUCUCCCUCUGCUGUUCUCCCUGUUUGUGCUCUCUCUCUCUCUCUCUGUCAAAUAAAUAAAUAAAUAAAUAAAUAAAAUCUAAAAGAAAAAAGAAAAUAUAUGUCCCAGAUCACCCAGCCAGUAAAUGGCAAAGCCAGAACUAGAAGGAAGGCUUUGAUAUCCUGGCCUAAUUUCCUCCCAUACCUGCCACUCUCUGCCCCCUCAAAGCACAAACUCCAGACACUCUGACAUCAAUUUGUUGGUCUGGGCCUGAUAAGGAGACCUGAGUCCAGAGUUAGAAGCCACGGGCUCUGUCCAACUACACUUUCGCCCCCAACCCCCCCCAUCCCCCUAUAGGUCACUACCAGCCCUGAGUCUCCCUUGUCUUCUCUGCAGAAAGGGGUUGCUGCGUGAAGGUCCCAGUACGUAGCAAGGACUCAGUAUAUAUUUUCAAAUGCACACAAAAGAAACCAUCAUUGUUUCACAAGGAAGGAUUUGGGGGAUAUUGAUGAAUGGAUCUGCCUAUUCUGAAUUUUCCACUUUUUUGGCAAUGAACAUACAUUGCUUCCCUAAGAAAAAAAAAUGUUUUAAAUAAAAUGCAAACAAGAUGUCUGUGCUUUCCCACUACAUUUCUUUUCCUAGCACUUUUAUAUGGACACUUUUGUGGGCUGCCCAGACUUGAAAGCAGCUCAAAAAUGUUUGGAGUGAAUCAGUUAGAAGGCUUUGGGUUGCAAUAAUGUGACCUAGGAUUAGCAGAGCAAUGCAGC